UACGGAUUUCUCCCUGCGACGGCUUUCGUUCUCGAAAAGAGAGCCAUAACACAGGUGCUGCAUGACUGUCGUCAGCUCGUGUCGUGAGAUGUUGGGCUAAGUCCCGCAACGAGCGCAACCCUUGUCAUUAGUUGCUACAUUCAGUUGGGCACUCUAACGAGACUGCCGGUGACAAACCGGAGGAAGGUGGGGAUGACGUCAAGUCCUCAUGGCCCUUAUGGGUGGGGCUACACACGUCAUACAAUGGCUGGUACAAAGGGUUGCCAACCCGCGAGGGGGAGCUAAUCCCAUAAAACCAGUCGUAGUCCGGAUCGCAGUCUGCAACUCGACUGCGUGAAGUCGGAAUCGCUAGUAAUCGUGGAUCAGAAUGUCACGGUGAAUACGUUCCCGGGUCUUGCACUCGCCGCCCGUC
rnacentral:rRNA from 1 species